UAGGGAAUCUUCGGCAAUGGGGGCAACCCUGACCGAGCAACGCCGCGUGAGUGAAGAAGGUUUUCGGAUCGUAAAGCUCUGUUGUAAGAGAAGAACGUGUGUGAGAGUGGAAAGUUCACACAGUGACGGUAACUUACCAGAACGGGACGGCUAACUACGUGCCAGCAGCCGCGGGAAUACGUAGGUCCCGAGCGUUGUCCGGAUUUAUUGGUCGUAAAGCGAGCGCAGGCGGUUUAAUAAGUCUGAAGUUAAAGGCAGUGGCUUAACCAUUGUUCGCUUUGGAAACUGUUAAACUGGAGUGCAGAAGGGGAGAGUGGAAUUACAUGUGUAGCGGUGAAAUGCGUAGAUAUAUGGAGGAACACCGGUGGCGAAAGCGGCUCUCUGGUCUGUAACUGACGCUGAGGCUCGAAAGCGUGGGGAGCAAACAGG
rnacentral:rRNA from 1 species